rnacentral:rRNA from 1 species
ACGGAAGGCAGCAGUGGGGAAUAUUGGACAAUGGGGGAAACCCUGAUCCAGCGACGCCGCGUGAGUGAAGAAGUAUUUCGGUAUGUAAAGCUCUAUCAGCAAGGAAGAAAAUGACGGUACUUGACUAAGAAGCCCCGGCUAACUACGUGCCAGCAGCCGCGGUAGUACGUAGGGGGCAAGCGUUAUCCGGAUUUACUGGGUGUAAAGGGAGCGUAGACGGUGUGGCAAGUCUGAAGUGAAAGCCCGGGGCUCAACCCCGGGACUGCUUUGGAAACUGUCGUACUAGAGUGCAGGAGAGGUAAGUGGAAUUCCUAGUGUAGCGGUGAAAUGCGUAGAUAUUAGGAGGAACACCAGAGGCGAAGGCGGCUUACUGGACUGUAACUGACGUUGAGGCUCGAAAGCGUGGGGAGCAAACAGGAUUAGAUACCCUGGUA